rnacentral:rRNA from 1 species
UACAGAGGGGGCAAGCGUUGUUCGGAAUUACUGGGCGUAAAGGGCGCGUAGGCGGCCUGCUAAGUCGAACGUGAAAUCCCUGGGCUCAACCCAGGAACUGCGUCCGAUACUGGUUGGCUUGAAUCCGGGAGAGGGAUGUGGAAUUCCAGGUGUAGCGGUGAAAUGCGUAGAUAUUAGGAAGAACACCAGUGGCGAAGGCGGCUCACUGGCCCGGUACUGACGCUGAGGCGCGAAAGCGUGGGGAGCAAACAGG